rnacentral:rRNA from 1 species
GUCCACGCCGUAAACGAUGGAUACUAGCUGUUGGGGGUAACCUCAGUGGCUAAGCGAAAGUGAUAAGUAUCCCACCUGGGGAGUACGUUCGCAAGAAUGAAACUCAAAGGAAUUGACGGGGGCCCGCACAAGCGGUGGAGCAUGUGGUUUAAUUCGAUGAUACGCGAGGAACCUUACCAAGGCUUAAAUGUAGUUUGACAGGUUUGGAAACAGACCUUUCUCGGACAAAUUACAAGGUGCUGCAUGGUUGUCGU